CGGGUCCGGGAGCCAGCUGAAGAACUCCGGGGUCUGGUGAUUGUUGCGAGAAGCGAACAGAUCCAGGUGAAAGGGACCCCUCCAGGCUGCCAGGGCCCUGAAGACUCCCGUGUUCAGCCUCCAGUCGCUGACGUCUCUCCAGUGGCGAGAGAACCAGUCGGCCGUGAGGUUGAUCUUUCCGGGUAGGUAUUCGGCCUGAAGUGCGAUGUUGCGAGGUAGGCAA